rnacentral:rRNA from 1 species
UGCUUAACACAUGCAAGUCGAACGGCAGCACGGUCUAGUUUACUGGAUGGGUGGCGAGUGGCGAACGGGUGAGUAACGCGUAGGAAUAUGCCUUAAAGAGGGGGAUAACAUGGGGAAACUCAUGCUAAUACCGCAUGUACUCUGAGGAGUAAAGCUGGGGACCUUAUGGCCUGGCGCUUUAAGAUUAGCCUGCGUCCGAUUAGCUAGUUGGUAGGGUAAGGGCCUACCAAGGCGACGAUCGGUAGCUGGUCUGAGAGGAUGACCAGCCACACUGGGACUGAGACACGGCCCAGACUCCUACGGGAGGCAGCAGUGGGGAAUAUUGGACAAUGGGGGGAACCCUGAUCCAGCAAUGCCGCGUGUGUGAAGAAGGCCUGAGGGUUGUAAAGCACUUUCAGUGGGGAGGAGGGUUGAUUGGUUAAGAGCUGAUUGACUGGACGUUACCCAGAGAAGAAGCACCGGCUAACUCCGUGCCAGCAGCCGCGGUAAUACGGAGGGUGCGAGCGUUAAUCGGAAUUACUGGG